rnacentral:lncRNA from 1 species
AGCACUCGAGUGGUCCCGUUAUGGAGUUGUGUCGUGCCUGGCGAGUGUGCAGGAGCACGCUUACUUGCAAGGUCCGUUAUGGUUUCUAUGUGAAGGGCCCCCCGAACAUGCAGGCAUUGAGGGCUCGCUCCCCAGUGCAGCCAUCUUCAGCAGUGGGCCCCAGGGAGGUGACUGGAUCAUGAGGGGCUGACCUCGCCAGUGGACUGAUCCACAGAAGAGGGUAAGCCACGGGGGCAUGACCUUGGGGACAGCAUCUUGACCCUGCCCCUUCCUCUCUAUGCUCUUUCACCAUCUUUGCAUCCAGCUGCUAUGAGGUGAGCAGUUUUGUCCCACCACACCCUUCUGCUAUGAUGCUCUGCCUCACCUCAGACCCGCAGCAAUGGAACAGGCCACCCAUGAACUAAAACCUCUGAAACCAUGAGCCAAAGUAAACUUUUCCUUCUUUAAGUUGUUUUUUUUCAGAUAAGAGGAAGAAAUGAAAUAAGCAAGCCCAGUUGAUUCUUCCCAAAUUUACCCAUCUGAUAAGCAGCCCCAUCAAUAUGCCAGGGGUGAAGUAAAUAGAGAGAUCUGGG